AAAGGAGCCAGGCUUGUACAGCCUGAUAGGCUACUAUGAGGACUGUGGCAUUUGCUGAGUGAAAUAGGGAGUCUCAGUUUCUUGGUCAACCUGUGGUUUAACCACUAUUGCAGCUGUGGAUAGAAUUAACAGAAAGUGUUUUGGAGGUGAUAGGGUGGAGCAAGAGCAGAAGCUAGGAAACCAGUGGGAGGCCAUUGAAAUAAUCCAGCCCAAAUUUGGUAGCUAGGGACAAGGUCAAACAGUGAAGGUCAUGACUAGGGUUGAUUCAUUAUGUAUUGUAAAAGUGGAGCCAGCAGAUUUGCUAACCAGUUGUAUGUCAGAUAUGAGAGAAGUGAAAGUUGAUCUAAGGUUAUUCAAGAUGUAAGGACCUAAACUAUACUUAGCACUAUGAUAAACAAUUAUACUUGGCCUAGAGGCUGGAAAGAAAGAUUACAAGAAAUGCAACUCCAAGUAUACUCUACCCAACCACUAUCAACUAUCAUCACAUUAACACCGACUUCAGCCCAGACUAUUGAGUUAAUCUGCA
rnacentral:lncRNA from 1 species